rnacentral:lncRNA from 1 species
GACAACCAGCCCUCCAAGCCAGGACUGCUUCUGACUAGUUUUUGAGAAAAAGUCUUGGUCUCGGGUUCACUCAGAGAGGACAGCCAUGCCCAACUUAUUCUCAAUAGAAAACUGAAACAGAGAGAGAAUGAGAAACACAUCCAUCUUCUUUCUACCCACCUACCAUAUGUGGACUUCUUGCAUUGGUGAGUGUGAAAGAAGGAAGCAGAAAGCCUUGAUGAUGGUCAUAUUUUCAUUCAUCCAUAAUGCAGCCUUUGCGCAAGUUGAAAGACCGUUGAGAACAGGAAUGUUAUCUCACCCUUCACAGCCCAAACAAAGCCUAGCACUGGAUCUUGCCAGAGGUGAUAAUUUCCUAGGAGUCAUUGAACAGAGAGUACUGAGGAUGGAGGAGUAAAUUGGAGAAAGCAACCGUCAUUGAGAGAGCGGAGCCCCCAGCAAUGCUCAUCAACUCCUUUGUCUCCCAUUUGUUUUGUCCACAAAACGCAGCUCUGAACUGUAUCAGGGACAAUUGCAUAGGC